CUGCAGGUUUGGUUAAGAAGUCGUGGGCAGGGUGCAGUGGCACAUGCAUAUAAUCCCAGUGGCUCCUGAGGCCGAGGCAGGAGGAAGCCGGCUUCUGGGUGCAUCAGAAGAGAGAUGUGGUGUGGAGAGGUCAGACCUCCUGACCCUGAGUCCUCCUGGUCACUUCCUGUGCCUCACUAGACCCCUGAGUCAAACUGCUGGAGGCCCAAGGGCAGCGACACCUGGCAGGUCAGGAGCAAAACCCCAAAGAUAAAAAAAUGUUGGCUCCCUGAGAAGAGCUAAGCGAAACUCUGAAGCCACCCAUGGCUCAGCGGAGAGAGAAAAAGCAUGGCCCCAGCCUGGUCUGAGCAAAGCAGUGUGCCGAGGGAGGUGGAUUCCGUGAGGAACCCAGUCAGCCAGAGCUCAGUCCUGACCUCUGUGUGGACCCCUCUUCCCCAGGCUAUGCUUCAACUUCUGCACCUGCUCCACUUGCAGUCAUCCAAGUCCGUUGCCUGUCUCUCUCGACCCUUCCUUCUGCUUUAGGAUCCAAGAUGUGAGCCUGGGCCAGCUAGAUUACCAAUCUGUCAGCCCCAGCCAAUUAGUCCGCUCCAGUCGGCCUCUCUUAGCUGUAAGUAUCCUGUGUGUCCAUCAGCAGCAGCUGUCAUCUCUGCCUCUCCCUGUGCCUACAGCAAGCAGCGCUGAGCACAACUGUCCUGGGUGGGCUGGCAAGAUGGGCACAAUGUCCUCUCCUAGGAGCCAGAUGCUGCAUCUGCUAAUGAAGCCACAGAAUGCACAGGAUUAUCAGCCACCAGGUCACUCACUUCCCGACUCAUCCUGAGUCCAUUAAACUCAUGCUCUGUCUCCAACUAUGUUGCCAAGUCCCCCCUUUCCUGGACUGAUAUAAUUGAUAUUUUAACAUAAAUGCAGCCUAUUCACCUAUAUAAUAUUUUAUCUUGUUUUUUUUUUUUUUUAAUCGCGUUGUUUUAAUUCAGCUGAGAACUACAAACAUACAAUGCAGACUCGAAGCAUUUCUCAGGCACAUGACUGGCAGGGUGGAUAUGAUCCUCCCAGACCCUUGCCACCCCAUGAAGAGGCAUGAAUGGGCUGAACAUGGAUCCUAGCGUCUAUUUAUAUGAUCCAGGAGAGGGACUUUGGUGACCCAUCUUCUUGCAUAUUAAUGAUGGAUGUGGGAGGGGAUGGAUCCUGAGCUUUGCAAUCUGGGUUACAAUCUUGCCCACAUGAGAAAUGACGUGUUCCCCAACGCAGGUGACGUGAGGAGUCUGCAUUUCAGCAGACUCCAACCUGAGUUCUGGAAGCCCUCCUAGAGCAUCAGGAUUUGCUGGGCUACCCAAGGAGAGCCUCCAGGGUCACGCAGCAGACAAUCCGGUUCCUCUCUCCUUAUCUAGUUGUUAGGACUCGAGAACCCCCAGACAACGCUGAUAUCUAACAAUUGGAGAUCACUAAAAGUGGAGAAAAGACAGGGAACUAGGGGAGGAGGGGCCCUCACCACUCCUUUCUUUCCAUCAACCCCUUCACCACUCCUGGUCUCCCGUGGAUGAAGGUCAUCUCAGAAUUGUGUGGCAUGUUAGUACUUUUGGGGGGAUAUUGAUUCUUUUCCCUGGGGGAGGACAGUGUGGAACCCAAGAACAGAAUUCCUCAUUCUAGGCUCCAUAAGAAAAGGAUUGGGGGCCUUCAAACCAGACCAUAAGGAGACACCUGGGUACACGUGAGGCUCAGCCCAGGCGUCACUCUUCUGUGAGACCUCUCCUCCCCGCUCCCCGUGUCCCCUGCGCACACGUGGUCAUUGUGCUUGGCACAGUGGAUUGUCAGAUAUUUGUUUUCAUGCUCUCACACCUACUGCAAGGCCAGCAGCGUGACGUGACUGAGUGCAGGUACUGGGCCCUUCAUCUCUGCAUGCCCAGGGCCCAGCAUGCACCUGCAGAUGCUACCCAUUUGCACUAUGAAGCCUGGCCCCGGGGUUCCUGGAUCGGGCCAGGGUGGCAUCAUCCCAACUCCCCCUGCCUCCUGUACCCAACCCAAGUUGGAAACGCUCUGUACUGGGUGCCUCAUAGUUGCCAAGCAUGUAAGUCAAACAAGUGAUAGCAAAAUAGCUGCGUGCCUAAGAGAAAGAUCCAAGUUCCCUUCCAGAGAACUUUGCCUGCACAGCGCAUCCCUGCCCUCCAAUCAAAGCCAAUGAAAACACCCUGUGACGUGCCACCUUGGACUACCCCUCAGGUGACACGAAUCAUCAUGGGUCCAAAGGGCCUUCCUGCAGCCCAGGGAUCCAGCAGCUUCCAGCUCAGAGGGCACCUGCCUCUUUGCCUUUGUACUGGCCGUUUUGACGUGGGCACCGACUGAGGGAGCCCUACUGCAUACAGGAUGCGGACAGAGCCGUGGGCCAAGGCAAAAGGCCUGCCUUCCUGAAGCUUAGACAACACCACUGCAUACAUAACAGGCCGGAGGGGCAGAAUGUAGCUUUGACUGACUCAGAAUUUCUUAUUUCUUUGGUUCACGGAUAUACAUCAAGCUUCUGGAAUAAUGCCUGGCCCAGGGUAGGUGCUCCCUAAGAACUUGGAAUAUUCGCUCAUCACCCCCCCACCCCCAUGCCAGACACUGCUCUUUGGUAGGCAAGAAGACCCUUUGUCAUGGCAGAAGGGCAGUGGGAAUUGCCUCCCUGUCUUCCUAGUCUAAAGCUGAUGGGACAAGAAGGUGCCAUGGGUGGCUUGGGAUUCUCUUUGGGCUCCGUUUCCCUGCCGCCUGACCCCUCUGUCCUCUUUCCUCCAGAGGGUACAGGGCUCGGGGCCUUUCUCAUGCAAGGAAGCUGAAGGGGCCCCCAGGCAGGGUGGGCCUGGCCAGAGGCCUGGGGAGAUCGGGGGAGGGAGGGCUGGAGAGCCAGCAGAGGGGUGGAUGUGCAGGGUGGGUCGGAGCUGAGGUGGGCAGACACAGAACCCCCGCAGAGGCCAGGGGAGGGGGAAUCCCUGUCCUUAUCCAAUUCCCCAGGGGCUCCGUAAUGAGCCUCGCAAUGCCAUUCCAUUUUCAACUCUACAAGGCUCCUGGCACUCUCAGCGGUAGGUCUGAGAGAAUUAGCUGCCUGAAUGCCUAAUGACAGACAAGGGUAGCAGAGAGAGGGAGGGAGAGAGAGAGAGAGAGAGAGAGAGAGAGAGAGAGAGAGAGAGUAAAUAGGUGGGGGGGGGGAUGGGGAAGUCACAGUGUCUUCUCUCUCUUUGGAAUCUUUGGUACCGUAUUGCAGAUUUCCAAGUUCAGGGUCCCCUGGGGCCACAGCCACACCUCCCUGCUCCAUCACUUCCUGGCUGGGGAACCCGUUUUCCCAAGCAGGCUUUUGCAAUGCCCUCUCCUCAAGCUGAGUGCUCAUGCCCGCCAUGCCCAGGUGCCCUUAUUGGCUGUGAUCCACUCCAGGCUGACACAGCCACCUUCUCCAAGGACCCGGUCACUCUAUGGACAACAGGUAUUCUCUGAGGCCGAUCAGAGUGAAGUCCAGAGUGGUACGUUUCUUCCUUGCCUCCUCCACUUGUGAAACUAUGAAAUUAUUCACUGAGCAGAUCAAUUAUUCAGAUUAUUCACAUGGAGUCUAAAUUAGACUGUAUCGCCUCUGGCGAGGCUUUGAAGUCCUGCCUUACCUGACUCCCCGACCCCCGCCAACUUUCCACCCGACUCCAGCCACUUGCUUUCAUGCCAGGCCCCUUCUCCCCGUCGCACGCUCCCCUCACUGUGACCUGCUGCCUCCAAGCUUGAGCCCCGUCUGAUUCCCCUGUCUGAAGCCCAGCCUUCUCUCUUCAUCCUAAUCCAACUUGCCCUUCAAGAUCUCACUUUUGAACUUGGACUUCACCCUGAGCGUCCCUGGGCUUCUGCAGCAGUCGGAAGUAUUUUAGAAUUAGAAGCACACAAUUUUGCUUUUAAUUGCACUCCGUUUGCAGACGCUGCCUUCCCACAGAGUUGUUAAGCAACACAAGGGCAGGACACUGUUGGACUCCUGGGGUCCUCUCACAUACCAGCUCGGCGCGCACCAUGAAGACGCCGUGGAAUCCGUGCAGCCUGGCUCCCGCCUGCUUUCCCGCUCUUCCUCUUUCCCUUCAUCCCAGCUUCCUCCAGCCUCUCCGCCCUCAAUCACUCUCCCUCCCGUCCCAGGCAUUAGACAAGCCAAGGUGGAGAUCAGACUUGGGAUUUUAGAGAUCAGGCUGGCUGCAGGCAGUUCUCCAGAAGGGAUUAUGGUGAAUUUGGGCCAACUCAGAGGAGACCAUUGCAGCAAACCAGACAGGCUCCAGGAAAAAGUAGCUUGGGAGAUAAGUUGGAAGCCAGAGAAGCUGUAUGUGAUUCUGGGACAGAAGCUGGGGGGACCCCUGGGAUGGCCACCAGAUUGAGAAAGCUUGGGGAAAGGCCUCUGCCUAUUUCCUGAACUGAUGGGGUCGCUGUGGGAGGUCAGGGCUGCUCACAGCCUAAAUCUUCCAUGCCAACUUAACUGUGGCAACCCAGACCCUGGAAGAGGGUUUGCUGCAUCCCGUAUUUAGAGGUUAAGUGUUCUGAUAUCUGCAACUUACUCUGAAAUGUGUCAAAAACAGAAGAAAAGACUGGUGGAGGGUAGAUGGACAGAUUCGUGGUAAGACAGAUAGAGCAAAAUGGGAGUUCUAGAAUCUGGGUUGUGGGCAUAUGGGUGUUUGCUGUGUUAUUUUUUAAGCUCUUCUGAAUGUUUCCAUUUUUCAUAAUAACAUAUUGAGGGAAAUAAAUCACCUAGGGAGUCACACCCACCUCAUGUUGCACGUCACCCUGGCUCGAGGGAGUUUCAUCAUUCGUCAUUGGGUUCUUUCUCAAGCCCCCUUCGGGAGAGUUCUCGACCAGACACUUGAAGACACAGAAUAACAAGCAGAUAGGCAGUCCCCGCUUUGGGGAAAUUUAGGAUAUUGGGAGAAAAUAGGAUGGAAUCAUCAAAUUAACGUCAGUAAAGACAGCUCUUUAUUUUCUGGUCUAAUGGAUGAGAAAUAGGGGUGUGAUUUCCUGUAACUAUAUAUUGUCCCCAAACCUCUUCUGCUUGACUUUGAUGAGGUAGAAAGGCCCAUUACAGGAAAGAGACAGAAGUGGGGAGUAGGGGAGGCUGCACCUGGCAGGUGACUGGAGAUCCGGUAGUGGACAGUCACCUGCAGGUCCCUGAAGGUGGGUUGAAGAACAGAUCUGACUCCUUCGGGGAGGGUUGGGAUCAGCGUACUAGGAACCAGGUCAGUCUCAACUCUGCCAGUCUACGUCAGCUUGAACAAGUCACUGUUUUCUUGGAAACUCAACCUCCUCUUUGUUAAGAUUGCUGAACUAUCACCUGCAAGCUGAAUUCUACCUGAGGCUUGUAUAUCUAUAUAUCUAUAUAAAUAUAUAUAUCUAUAUAUUA